GAUUUCUGGUGUGACAAUGUCUGGUCCGCUACGUUUACGUAGUGCGUACCUUGGCUUGUCUGCCAUCCUUCUAGAAAACGUAUCUACCCUUCACUGGGCCGGAUACGCGAUCUAGAUCAUUUACUUUGAAAAAAUUAGAGUGUUCAAAGCAGGCUUGCGCUGUGAAUACAUUAGCAUGGAAUAAUAAUUUAGGACUUCGGUUCUAUUUUGUUGGUUUCUAGAGCUGAAGUAAUGAUUGAUAGGGACAGUUGGGGGUGCUAGUAUUCAGCGGCCAGAGGUGAAAUUCUUGGAUUCGCUGAAGACUAACUUAUGCGAAAGCAUU
rnacentral:rRNA from 1 species